UCACACAGCAGUACAGAGAGGUAACACACAGGACCUCACACAGCAGUACAGAGAGGUAACACACAGUACCUCACACAGCAGUACAGAGAGGUAACACAGGACCUCACACAGCAGUACAGAGAGGUAACACACAGGACCUCACACAGCAGUACAGAGAGGUAACACACAGGACCUCACACAGCAGUACAGAGAGGUAACACACAGGACCUCACACAGCAGUACAGGGAGGUAACACACAGGACCUCACACAGCAGUACAGAGAGGUAACACAGGACCUCACACAGCAG